CACACACACACACACCUCCCACUCAACAUGUGUGAUCUCCUCGCACAAACAAACCGACCCACACACCACCUCCUUCCCCUCUCUUCGCUGUGUCCUGUUUAACGUGGGUUGACAGCGAGAAGAUCAACACCAUUUCGGAGAGAUCAUUUGUUCCCUGGCAUCUGGGGGGGUGCCCCCCUCUUUAUGUCCUUUAAAAGCCUCUCGACAAGGUGCUGCAAUCGCCCGCCGAUGCGUUAGACCACACCACGUAGACUCAUUAUCCAAAGAAUGAAUAGAGGAAGCCGGAGGAUGAACGCCUACUUGCAUGGACUUAUCAAGAGUCACGUCAUGUAUCACAGCCAUGCCUGCAGUGAAUGUGAAGGGACUGAUGAAGAUAUUUCCCGUUGCCAACGCAGGGGCCGGGGUGACAGCGAGAUACAACAACACUGUGGACGCCUGGCCCCUGCUGGUUUCCAUCAGAGGCAGCAAAAGGAGACGCGAAGCUCGCGGAGCAACAACAGCCGCUGCUGUUGUUGGAUGAAGGAGGCGCCAUAAAAGAUAUCCUGUCGCAACACCAAAAGGUCUUUGUUUGCAUUUGGCCCGC